GUGCUUGCUGCUAGCAGGAGGGAGAGGCAGGGGAAGAAGUAUCGCCCAUCUGCAGCUCUGCAGGGCAGGACCUUGAUGGUGGCUGAGAGAAGAAAUAAAGAGAAGAGGGAAGAAGAAACAAAAAUGCCAAUUACUGACCAAGAACACGAAUUUUUCACUGAUCUCCUGUAAUUCCCCACCAAGCUGAAGAGCCUGGAAGGUAGGAUUAGAUCAUGCACACUGCUCAUCUGCUGCGUGCUGCUGGGCACAGUGCAGUUGGCUGAUCUGCAAGUCUAUCCGUGUGUCCUGUUGAGAGAGGUUCCUACUGUCUCUGGAAGAAAACAAGUUUGUCCAAGGAACAGCAGCAGCCUUUGGAGUAUGGAAAACCACAGAAGAAAGCCUGUGGUGUUGCCAAGUCCGUUGCUGCAGACCUCUUUGUUCCCCAAGAGAAUGCGUAAAGGCUCUUUUUGAUCCCACUGCACAUCACUGGGCUCUGCUGACCUCCAGACAUAGAGAGCACCACGAGGAGGAAAAGGACUCAGCACGUGACUGGGCUUUGCGGCCAGCUCUGGACCACAAGCUCCUUGCCCAGAUAUCUUGCUGAUGUCCCUCACCAUAUGGGACGUGUGUAGUGCUGCUUCCUCCUGGCUGUCACUCGUGGGGUUCCGCCCCGGCUCCGAAGCUCCGUGCGUGGGAACUGCUCCUGGCUGGGGCUCAUCUCUGUCUGCAGGAGCUGCUCGGCCUCUUUCAGCACAUCUCAGUCUGUUUGGAGACAGUUCCCGCAAGCAUCUCUUCUCCAGGUGUAGCGGCUUUCUCUCCCCCGCGUUUCAGCCGUGGUAUCACAUUAUUUAUGGUUUCCUGCCUGUUGGCUGGUUUGGAAGUCAGCAAUUCCCCGAGAUGAAGUUGUACGAAGUUGGCUGGUGCUGAAUUUGCAUUUUUUUUUUCCCAGAAGAGAGAGAGAUCGAGGGAAAAAACGUCACCGUGCUGCAUCACCGGGCACUCCAUCCCACGGGUCUGCCCAUCCUCACCCCUCCAACGCCAACGCCCCUCAGGUGGUGAUCCCCACGUCCCCGCUCGGACGCGGGAUCACAGCUCCAACUCCCCUUCCCAGCACAUCAUCAACAUGUUGUUUCCAGGGUCAUAAAUUUGCACGGUGAUGAGACACAACCAGAUGUUCGGCUACGUGAAGCGACUGGCGAAGCAGCCUGCCUGGCGCAGCCCCCGCCGCCGGAGCCAGCCGCCUGCUAAUGAGAAGCAGGUCUCUCGCCUCGCGCCGGGCCAGCACAGACGGGGAGCGUCCCCGGGAGCACCUGCAGAGCUGCCAUCCCGACCCCCGGCCUGCUCUCGGCGUCCGGGGAGCGACUACAGGCUCUUUGGUGUCUAUCGGCUUCUGGCGGCCAUCUGGAAAGCGAGUGCGGCCUAGCGCAGGGGGGACGUUCAAGGCCGCGGUCCUUCUUGCUAGCAAGGAAGCCGGUCACGAUGCAGUCGAUGCUUUGUCGUGUACAAAUACUUCUGAGACGCGUGUUCUGUAUGGAUGAGCAGUUCGGUUCUUGAUGGAGAGACCCACGGGGAUGUGAGGUCUUAGCUCAGGAUGCUGAGGCAGUACCCUCUGCCGGGAGCUGGUGUUGACUCGAGAUGCCCGUUUCCAUGACUUUGAAUGCCUGCGUCCCCUGAGUGGGUUGAAAAGUGCUGAAAAGGGAACGUGGGCUGCGGUGGUCCUCAGGACAGCUUUCGGCCAAUGCGUGGCAGAUGCUACCCCUGCAACAUGCUUGUGAUGUUUUGGGAUGUGCACUAAACAUCUGGGAAACACACCCUGAUGGCAGUCCCUGGGCACAACCAUCAUGGGGAGGCUUUCUCUCUGUGGUCUUCUUCUGGAAGCCUCUGGAGGUCCCAGGGACAAGCCUGAGCCCCGUGUGAGGCUGACACGGCUCCAUCGCUGCCUCGUGGCAUCAAGCCAGCCCUUGCAUCACAGGGUGAGUCUAGGAUGAAGGAUGGUCCCAUCUGAAGGUCUGGUGUUGGUGCCUCUCCUCUGUUUCUUUGUUCUUCCCUGGAUCACAUGGGCAGUGAUGGCACCUCCUCAUACACCUACAUGCACUCUCCCAUCUCCUGGGCACAGACGAGUGAUAGGAGUGUACGUGGGUGGGCUGCACAGAAGAGAGAGGACCUAUUUUGAAGAAAAAGAAUAAGGAGCAUGUUGGUACAAGGCUCCAGAGCUGCAAGUUGAUCCUGGGUGGUCACUCUUUGCUUGGAGGUUCAGGAACAGCCUCCAGAUUAGAAGAGGAGGAGAUGGAUCUUGUGAUCAUAGGAUCACCAAGGUUGAAAAAGACCUCCAAGAUCAUCCAGUCCAACCAUCCACCCACCACCAUAUUUGAUACAAUGACAUUUGCAAUAUAUCUUCCCAUUUCCUUUUGGCAUGGCCAGCCCCUAGAUGUGAUCCUGCGAUAGAGCUGCUCACAAACCUCUCACUUGGCAACCCAAAUACCUGGUUUUUCAGUUCUGUCUCUCCUGAUGGAACUCAGCUGAUGGCCUCCUACCCUUCAGGGAGUGUCACCGGGAAAUGAUGUUUUUCUAUGGGGAGGCUGCUGGAAUACAGCUGUGGGCACAGCAUCUUCAGUGCUUCCAGUCCCAUGCAGCAUCAUGAGCAUGGCCAAAGCACAGUUAUAUGUACCAUGUACUUUUGUGCACAUGGGGAAUUUAAAGCAUUGGGGGAAUUCUGGAGCAGACGUAGGCAGUGAUGUGAAUGGCAGUGAUGCUCUGCACUCUUACCUGAGUGGCUGUAGUCUGCCUAUUUGGAAGUAGGUAGGGCUGUGUCUACAAAAGAACACUAAGCAGUGCUGGGGGACAGUUAUGUUUUAUUCUAUAAAUAAAAGGGGUUUUGCUGAUUUCUGUAGGAAUUUGUAUAUUUAGGAACUCUGUGAGUAAGGAAGGCCAUCUUGAAGUCUUUGCAGUCUGAUCAAUGAUAAACCUGAGCUGCGCUCCUUCCAACUGGAAGGAGCAAUACCUGGCUCAGCCCCGUGCUAAGGCCUUCAGCUGGCACAUAGAGGCAGGUGUGGAGAGGAAAAAAUAGAAACUUUCAGCCUCCAAAAUCAUUGUGAGAACUUGUAAACGUGACCCAGAUAAACACGGUGCGGGAUGGCUUCCUUGAGUCAGCAGAUCCUAAAAUACCGCCUCCUGCGACCUUCAUCCCAGCAUGUCUGAAGCCUGAAAAUGCCGUUUGCAAAUGCUGGGUACCCUGCAAAGCACCCCAACCUGCUCUUUGCUCAUCAAGAGCGGUUGUGCAUGGCCAAGCCAAAGCUCAGCAGCUUGAAGGCAUGGAGGAGAGCCCCAUAAAACACCUGUGGUUGCCUGUAACACCAGAGACGCAGGGCUCCCCUGCUGCCUCCACUCCAAUUUCUUGAAGAUUGACUGUGCACUAUAGCUUUAUCUCUUGGAAUUAUUAUAUUAUUACCAUUACUAAGACAGUAAUUUUCAUUAACGACUUGCUACUGGAAGGUGCAGCUCUCCAGGACUUUCCAUCACAGAGAAGGUCCACCCAGAUGCAGGCUCCCACCAGGGCUGUGCAGGUGCUCUCCUCUCCCCAUGGAUGAGCUCUGGUGGGCUAAACUGGCCAAGCAGAUGCCUUCUGCCCUCAGCAGAGGGAGACCAGCACUUCUUUGUGGAGCCCAGUGGUCUGGGACUGACUUCUGACAGCCCUUUGGUGGAGCCAGACUCCACCAAUGGUGGAAGAAUUAGAGAUGACCAGGGCAAACGAGGUUGAACUGUCUGUAGGCAGUCAUGGGGCACUCACCUGGGAGCCAUGAGCUACUGAAAUGUCCCUGCUUUCACUGGCCUUGGGGCAGUUAUAGUUAUGUGGUGGUGUCACACCGCUCUAAGUCCUUGCGUGGCAUGCUCUUGGACAGAAAGCCCAGCCUGGAACAAAGCUCCUGGACAGCCUCUGUUCUGAUACGACUUCUUGGAUGAGGAUGCCAGGCAUCACUUCUUGAUGCUGGUGGAAAUGCCCAGGGGAUGGGAAUGGCAAAGGGGGUGCUUUCCAACAAAGCCUUGGUUCAGCAGCGUCCAUCCUACUGGUGGUACCCAGCUGGGCUGAGCUGGCCAGCAAGAGCUGAGAGCAGGAGUGAUGGGGAGCAAAGGCAUUCAGCACUGCCCUCCUUCCUGUGGGGAUGGCCAGAAGCCCAGCUAUGUUGACUGGGCAUAUUUUUCUCACCGAUGCAGCUCACCUUGGUCCAGCAAGGAGUGCGCACAGCAGCCGCCUGCCAUCAAUUCACAUACCCCCUCCCCUCAUUUCAAGGACUUGGGAGAGCACAAGGCUUGUGGCUACAAAGAUUUACGCCCCCCUCGGCAAGGGUUAACUUCAUCUCGCCGCCACUAUUGUCUCAGGACAACUUGUCAGUCUGCAGGAACGUGCCGUAAUGGAUUUGAAGUGGAUUGCUCAGCCCACGGAGAGGGUGAUGCUGUAUUUAUUGAAUAGACAUUAAAAAGAACAUUUCUCAAUUUCUCAGCACUGAACUCGAGGUCAAUGGAUCUUUUUGGCACUGACAUGCUGAGUCAACUCCUAGCUUAAAGCUUUUAGAAGGACCAGGGUUAGAUGAAAGGAUUAGACUCCGUCUUUAACGUUUCCCUGGCAAAAUUGUUGGGUUCUAAAUCAUUUAUGUUGCUUUGCUCUGCUUUGCUUGGCCUCUCCCCGUUACCUU
ensembl:lncRNA